UACGAGGGGGGCGAGCGUUGUUCGGAAUUAUUGGGCGUAAAGAGCUUGUAGGCGGUUUGUCGCGUCUGCCGUGAAAAUUCGAGGCUCAACCUCGAACUUGCGGUGGGUACGGGCAGACUAGAGUGUGGUAGGGGAGACUGGAAUUCCUGGUGUAGCGGUGAAAUGCGCAGAUAUCAGGAGGAACACCGAUGGCGAAGGCAGGUCUCUGGGCCACUACUGACGCUGAGAAGCGAAAGCAUGGGGAGCGAACAGG
rnacentral:rRNA from 1 species